UACAGAGGGGGCGAGCGUUGUCCGGAAUCACUGGGCGUAAAGGGCGCGUAGGCGGCAUGCCAAGCGUGUGGUGAAAGCCCGGGGCUCAACCCCGGGUCGGCCGUGCGGACUGGCGUGCUCGAGCACUGUAGGGGCGGGUGGAAUUCCGGGUGUAGCGGUGGAAUGCGUAGAGAUCCGGAAGAACACCAGCGGCGAAGGCGCUGCUCUGGGCCGGUACUGACGCUGAGGAGCGAAAGCGUGGGGAGCGAACAGG
rnacentral:rRNA from 1 species